CUCGAGUGGCAAACGGGUGAGUAACACGUGGGUAAUCUGCCCUGCACUCUGGGAUAAGCCUGGGAAACUGGGUCUAAUACUGGAUAUGACCUUUCUCCUUAUGGGGUUUGGUUGAAAGUUUUUCGGUGUAGGAUGAGCCCGCGGCCUAUCAGCUUGUUGGUGGGGUGAUGGCCUACCAAGGCGACGACGCGUAGCCGGCCUGAGAGGGUGAUCGGCCACAUUGGGACUGAGAUACGGCCCAG
rnacentral:rRNA from 1 species